rfam:Picea glauca, whole genome shotgun sequence.
AUGUACAUUCCUAUAGCAUAGCAUUAAUGCAAUGGAUCCCAUUAGAACUCCACAUAUAAGCACGCUCAGGCUAGAGUAGUAUUGGGAUGGGUGAUCGCCCGGGAAGUACUAGUGUUUUACAUG